UUCUUAGGUUAAUACAGUCCCCCCUGUUGCACCAUCCAGUGAGCAGGGCAACCCAAAGGACAGGGAAAGGAGCAGAGAAGACUCUACAAUUGUGGUGAUUAAUGACCGCAAAGUUAACUUGCUGGACAGUGAGUCAGGGUCCUUGUAUGCUCUCUGUAGAUCCUGGGUGCGCAAUGGUGUUCCACAUGAAAGUCAGGUUAGCCCACUUUUCUUCUUUCA